GAAGGCAAGCGGAUCUCUUAAAGCCGUUCUCAGUUCGGACUGUAGGCUGCAACUCGCCUACACGAAGCUGGAAUCGCUAGUAAUCGCGGAUCAGCACGCCGCGGUGAAUACGUUCCCGGGCCUUGUACACACCGCCCGUCACACCAUGAGAGUCUGUAACACCCAAAGCCGGUGGGAUAACCUUUAUAGGAGUCAGCCGUCUAAGGUAGGACAGAUGAUUAGGGUGAAGUCGUAACAAGGUACC
rnacentral:rRNA from 1 species